UGCAGUGUAUUUGACACAGUUGGUUCCCUU
rnacentral:piRNA from 1 species